rnacentral:rRNA from 1 species
UCAAGCUACAAAGGGCACACGGUGGAUGCCUUGGCGCUGGGAGCCGAUGAAGGACGUGGCAAGCUGCGAUAAGCCUCGGCGAGCUGCAAGCAAGCGUUUGAACCGGGGACGUCCGAAUGGGGAAACCCGCCGCGGGGAAUGCCGCGGCAUCCAUGCCUGAACACAUAGGGUAUGGAGGGGAACCGGGGGAACUGAAACAUCUAAGUACCCCGAGGAAAAGAGACAAUAUUGCAUUCCGUGAGUAGCGGCGAGCGAAAGCGGAGGAGCCUAAACCUCAUGCGCGUGAUAGCCUGCAGGCGUUGCGCAUGGGGGGUUGCAGGAGCGGCCGGGGAUCUCUGCAGGGAUCCGUCCGAUGCGAAGUUUCUUAGCCGAACGGCCUGGAACGGCCGGCCACAGGGGGUGAAAGCCCCGUAGGCGAAAGGGAACUUCGGAGGAUGGCCGCCACCUAAGUACCGCGGGACACGUGAAAUCCCGCGGGAAUCCGGGAGGACCACCUCCCAAGGCUAAAUACUACCCGGCGACCGAUAGUGAACUAGUACCGUGAGGGAAAGGUGAAAAGCACCCCGGGAGGGGAGUGAAAUAGUACCUGAAACCGUGUUGCCUACAAACAGUGGGAGGGCUAUGGUCGUAAGACCAGCCUGACCGCGUACUUUUUGUAGAACGGACCGGCGAGUUACGGUGUGCGGCAAGGUUAAGCGGAUGACGCGGAGCCGAAGCGAAAGCGAGUCUUAAUAGGGCGACAAGUCGCGCGCUGUAGACCCGAAACCGGGCGAUCUAUCCAUGGCCAGGGUGAAGCGAGAGUAACGUCUCGUGGAGGCCCGAACCCAUUAGUGUUGAAAAACUAUGGGAUGAGCUGUGGAUAGGGGUGAAAAGCCAAUCGAGCCCGGAGAUAGCUGGUUCUCCCCGAAAUAGCUUUAGGGCUAGCCUCGGGAAUAGGCUUGCGGAGGUAGAGCACUGAUCGGGCAAGGGGCCCUGAAAGGUUACCGACCCCUUUCAAACUCCGAAUGCCGCAAGCUGGUGCCCGGGAGUCAGACUGUGGGGGAUAAGCUUCAUAGUCGAGAGGGAAACAGCCCAGACCGCCGGCUAAGGUCCCAAAUUGACAGCUAAGUGGUUAAGGAUGUGGAACUGCCCAGACAACCAGGAUGUUGGCUUAGAAGCAGCCAUACAUUUAAAGAGUGCGUAAUAGCUCACUGGUCGAGUGGUUCUGCGCCGAAAAUGUCCGGGGCUCAAGCUGUCAACCGAAGCCGCGGAUCUCUGAAUUGGGAUGGUAGGGGAGCGUUGCCUGCUGGUUGAAGCACGACCGUAAGGACGUGUGGACGGCAGGGAAGUGAGAAUGCCGGUAUGAGUAGCGAAAAGGCAGGUGAGAAUCCUGCCCGCCGAAAGCCUAAGGUUUCCUGAGGAAGGUUCGUCCUCUCAGGGUAAGCCGGGACCUAAGCCGAGGCCGAAGGGCGUAGGCGAUGGACAACUGGUUGAGAUUCCAGUGCUGCCUCGAUCACGCUUGAGCGAAGCGGGGACGCAGAAGGGUAGACACAGCAGGCUGAUGGAAUAGCCUGUCCAAGCAAGUGGGGCGCCGCGUAGGUAAAUCCGCGCGGCACGAAGCCCGAGAUGCGAUGGGGUGCGGAUACGUCCGCUGAACUGGUCGAUCCCAAGCUGCCGAGAAAAGCCGCUAGCGAGUGGUCAGGCACCCGUACCGCAAACCGACACAGGUAGGCGAGGAGAGGAUCCUAAGGCGCGCGAGAGAACCCUCGUUAAGGAACUCGGCAAAAUCGCCCCGUAACCUAGGGAGAAGGGGCGCCCCGUUAGGGUGACUGGCUACACGCCAAGAGCCCGAGGGGGCCGCAGAGAAACGGCCCGAGCGACUGUUUACCACAAACACAGGUCUCUGCUAAGUCGCAAGACGAAGUAUAGGGGCUGACGCCUGCCCAGUGCCGGAAGGUUAAGGGGAGGGCUUAGCGGCAACGCAAAGGCCUGAACCGAAGCCCCGGUGAACGGCGGCCGUAACUAUAACGGUCCUAAGGUAGCGAAAUUGUCGGGUAAGUUCCGACCUGCACGAAUGGCGUAACGACUUGGGCGCUGUCUCAACGAGGGACUCGGCGAAACUGUAAGUGCACGUGAAGAUACGUGCUACCCACGAUUAGACGGAAAGACCCCAUGGAGCUUUACUGCAUCCUGAGAUUGGAUUUUGGCAGGGCAUGUACAGGAUAGGUGGGAGGCGCAGAGCCGCGGACGCAAGUCCGCGUGGAGCCGCCCUUGGGAUACCACCCUUGUUUUGCUGGAGUUCUAACCCGCGGCCGUGAUCCGGUCGGGGGACAUUCUCAGGUGGGCAGUUUGACUGGGGCGGUCGCCUCCUAAAAGGUAACGGAGGCGCCCCAAGGUUCCCUCAGCGCGGUUAGAAAUCGCGCGCAGAGUGCAAAGGCAGAAGGGAGCUUGACUGCGAGACGGACAGGUCGAGCAGGGACGAAAGUCGGGCUUAG